UACAGAGGAGCCAAGCGUUGUCCGGAUUGACUGGGCGUAAAGCGCACGCAGGCGGUUGCGCGCGUGGGGUGUGAAAUCUGGCCGCUUAACGGCCAGGCGCCAUCCCAUACGGCGCGACUGGAGUGAUGCAGAGGUCGAUGGAAUUGCCGGUGUAGUGGUGAAAUGCGUAGAGAUCGGGCAGGAACACCCAGGGGGGAAACCAGUCGACUGGGCAUCUACUGACGCUGAGGUGCGGAGAGCGUGGGGGAGCGAACCGGA
rnacentral:rRNA from 1 species